rnacentral:rRNA from 1 species
GAUGAACGCUGGCGGCGUGCCUAAUACAUGCAAGUCGAGCGAACGGACGAGAAGCUUGCUUCUCUGAUGUUAGCGGAGGACGGGUGAGUAACACGUGGAUAACCUACCUAUAAGACGGGGAUCACUUCGGGAAACCGGAGCUAAUACCGGAUGAUAUUUUGAACCGCAUGGGUCAAAAGUGAAAGACGGUCUUGCGGUCACUUAUAGAUGGAUACGCGCUGCAUUAGCUAGUUGGUAAGGUAACAGCUUACCAAGGCAACGAUGCAUAGCCGACCUGAUAGGGGGGUAGGCCACACUGGAACUUAGACGCCGACCAGACUCCUACGGGACGCAGCAGUCGGGAAUCUUCCGCAGUGGGCGGAAGCCUGACGGAGCAACCCCGCGUGAGUGACGAAGGUCUUCGGAUCGGAAAACUCUGUUAUGAGGGAUGAACAUAUUUGUAAGGAACCGUGCACAGCUUGACGGUACCUAAUCAGAAAGCCCCGGCUAACUACGUG